UCAGGGAUAUAGCUCAGUGGUAGAAUGCUUGUUUAGCAUGUUCAAGUCCCUGGGUUCAAUCCCCAGUACUGAA
rnacentral:tRNA from 1 species